rnacentral:rRNA from 1 species
CAGGCUUAACACAUGCAAGUCGAGGGGCAGCGGGGGUAGCAAUACCCGCCGGCGACCGGCGCACGGGUGAGUAACGCGUAUGCAACUUACCUAUCAGAGGGGGAUAACCCGGCGAAAGUCGGACUAAUACCGCAUGAAGCAGGGGCCCCGCAUGGGGAUAUUUGCUAAAGAUUCAUCGCUGAUAGAUAGGCAUGCGUUCCAUUAGGCAGUUGGCGGGGUAACGGCCCACCAAACCGACGAUGGAUAGGGGUUCUGAGAGGAAGGUCCCCCACAUUGGUACUGAGACACGGACCAAACUCCUACGGGAGGCAGCAGUGAGGAAUAUUGGUCAAUGGCCGAGAGGCUGAACCAGCCAAGUCGCGUGAGGGAUGAAGGUUCUAUGGAUCGUAAACCUCUUUUAUAAGGGAAUAAAGUGCGGGACGUGUCCCGUUUUGUAUGUACCUUAUGAAUAAGGAUCGGCUAACUCCGUGCCAGCAGCCGCGGUAAUACGGAGGAUCCGAGCGUUAUCCGGAUUUAUUGGGUUUAAAGGGUGCGUAGGCGGCCUUUUAAGUCAGCGGUGAAAGUCUGUGGCUCAACCAUAGAAUUGCCGUUGAAACUGGGGGGCUUGAGUAUGUUUGAGGCAGGCGGAAUGCGUGGUGUAGCGGUGAAAUGCAUAGAUAUCACGCAGAACCCCGAUUGCGAAGGCAGCCUGCCAAGCCAUUACUGACGCUGAUGCACGAAAGCGUGGGGAUCAAACAGGAUUAGAUACCCUGGUAGUCCACGCAGUAAACGAUGAUCACUAGCUGUUUGCGAUACACUAUAAGCGGCACAGCGAAAGCGUUAAGUGAUCCACCUGGGGAGUACGCCGGCAACGGUGAAACUCAAAGGAAUUGACGGGGGCCCGCACAAGCGGAGGAACAUGUGGUUUAAUUCGAUGAUACGCGAGGAACCUUACCCGGGUUUGAACGCAUUCGGACCGAGGUGGAAACACCCUUUCUAGCAAUAGCCGUUUGCGAGGUGCUGCAUGGUUGUCGUCAGCUCGUGCCGUGAGGUGUCGGCUUAAGUGCCAUAACGAGCGCAACCCUUGCCACUAGUUACUAACAGGUAAAGCUGAGGACUCUGGUGGGACUGCCAGCGUAAGCUGCGAGGAAGGCGGGGAUGACGUCAAAUCAGCACGGCCCUUACAUCCGGGGCGACACACGUGUUACAAUGGCGUGGACAAAGGGAAGCCACCUGGCGACAGGGAGCGAAUCCCCAAACCACGUCUCAGUUCGGAUCGGAGUCUGCAACCCGACUCCGUGAAGCUGGAUUCGCUAGUAAUCGCGCAUCAGCCAUGGCGCGGUGAAUACGUUCCCGGGCCUUGUACACACCGCCCGUCAAGCCAUGGGAGCCGGGGGUACCUGAAGUCCGUAACCGCGAGGAUCGGCCUAGGGUAAAACUGGUGACUGGGGC